CAACGAUAGAACUCUUUUAUUAUCUAAACAAGAAAAAACUUAGUGAGUAAAGAAAUGCUGAAGAUAAUUGGGCUCGCAAUUGAGCCCAAAAAGUUAAAGAAAUCAAUAUAAGAUACCGUUGAGCCUGCUUCCAACCAGGUUGUCUCAUCUAGGCUAGAACCAGGCCCAAUUGCUCCCAGCAAGAGAGCCUUCCAUAUUAAGGCCCACUUGAGACUUAACUUACUAUAAAUCACAUGUGAUACAAAAUAUUGUAAAAAUUCUGGAAUAGAAAUCACAGGCUGAUCAACCAUAUUAUGAGUCUAAUUCAUCACCAUACCGUUAGUGACACUAAUAUAAAAUUACUUAACUCAGACUACCAAUUAGUUACAUUGAAACCAGGUUUGUAAUUACUUCUAUUGCAACUGGAGACUCGAAUACCAUCUAACAAUUAAUAUUGAAUAUCCUUUGAAAUUUUAUAGGCUUAGACCCCAUAUUUUUAGAAAAACACACCAUGGAAACAUGCUAAUCAAUAGACCCUUCAGUGAACACUUCAAUGGAAAUGAACUAAUGACCGUAUACACUUGCCAGCCCCUAAUUGAUUUCAAUAUUUUGUACUGGCCAAAUAGGGCCAGGUGCCUAUAUUCUGGAACUUUCUCACAUGGUCUUAUCUAAAUUUCCUAUUUCAUACCCUUCCAAUGACUCACCCCCCACCCCCAAGUUUUCUUUUUGUUCAAUUAACCCUAUAAGUGCUUAUCUAUUUGCAAAUCAGGACCAACAAAACAAUGCAAGAAUCAUCAUGAAUCAAAGAUCAAAGAAAUAAAAUAUUAUGCAAUUAAACCUUUAGACUAACCCUAGCCCCGAAUAAAUUUAGCAUGAACCAACUCUGAAAUGAGGCCGAAACAAAAAUUAUCAAGAACCCAUUAACGACUCUUAACAAAGGAAAGUUGUUAAAACUCAUUAAAAAGACUGUUUAGAUGAUGACUUAACAAAUUUGAAUAAGCACAAACAAAAUACACACUGUAAUUAACCUAACACUAAACCAUGCAAGCUAAGCAGGAAAAGAUUAUGAAGGAAAAAGUAGAAAGAUAAAUCACCCCAAGAGCAAACAAAGCUUGAUUUGAACUAAUCAAUCGCAAACUCGGACAGAUUCCAGCGGCAUAAAAUAAACUGAGACUAACAUCAAUCGAUUUCUGUCAUCAAGAACAAUAGAUUGAUGUAGGUAUUGGAUUCAAAUGGACUAAAACUGAACGGAAAAUUAGAGACUUGCCAAAAAAACUAGGGUUUUGACUUUUAGAUUUAAAUUUUGGGGAUUUCUAGGUUCACAACUGAUUGUUGUCUACCUGCGAUUCUGUCUUCCGGGUGAAGGUCUUGCGGAGGUCGUUUUUAGUAAUAAAAAUUGAUUAGGGAAAGUGACCCAUGAUGAAAGGAUCUAUUGACCUGAGUGGGUUUUUAUUUUUAUUUGAAAAGCAACGCUUGUGGAACUAGGCACUCUUAAGAUCGUGCAAAACAGUUCUUUUUUACCGGGAAGAUUGACAUGACUAUUUCUAUACGUAAUAGAAUGUGUGAAGUCGACCCGAGAAAAAGAAAAGAAUUGACUUUUUGAAUUCAAUAUCAAUAAAAGAACAUAUAAGGACAUGGUUAUGAGGUAUAGAAAGAGGGGAAGAUGGUGUUUUCAUGGUGUCAAUUUUAGUAGUUUUAGAGAUCGUUGGGUGGUAGCGCCGGCAGGGUUUGCAUAGAAUAUUAGGGUGGCUAGGCUUAUGUUUAAAGUGAGAGGGCGACGAGAAUGCGAGUCUCUA
rnacentral:lncRNA from 1 species